rnacentral:rRNA from 1 species
AUGACUGGUCUAUCAUGGAAGCUAAGCUAUGGAUUUCAGUUGGAGGAGGAAGGCCGAUGGAAUGGACUUUUUCAUACUCGUGUUGUGGUACAAGAGAGAUCAUGUUCUAUGACAAUCGACCACAUGAGUUUGAUAAACGCGGCAAGCAUCGAGAUGGUGGAGAAGUUGGAACUACCGAUGACACCACGACCACAACCAUACUUGUUCCGUUGGGGUCAUGAAGAGCUCAGUGUAACACAUCAAACCAAGGUGCCGUUUUUUUUGGGAAAAUAUUAUUGCACGGUUUUGUGUGACGUGAUUCCGACACUGAUGGUUUCAUGUCACUUAUCGUUGGGUAAGCCAUGGUACAAAGAGCACGAUGUUGCCUACGAUUCUCAAACACACAUAUAUACUGUUAAGAAGGGUAAGAACUACGACCUUGUGCCCAUGGGCCAGGAUCGUUUUAUUUCUUGGAGGAAAGAACAUCUUGAGAAGGUAAAAGAGGAGGAAAAAGCAAAGAAAAGGGAGGCCAAAGUUGCUGAAAUUUUUACGGUCGUUGUUCAGUCUACAAAUAAAAAUAUUGUUGAAAAGAUCGACCCGAAACCGAGGACGGUUUUCGUUUCAAGGGAGAGAGGAUGA